AGUGAACGCUGGCGGUAGGCCCAACACAUGCAAGUCGAACGGCAGCACAGUAAGAGCUUGCUCUUAUGGGUGGCGAGUGGCGGACGGGUGAGGAAUACAUCGGAAUCUACUUUUUCGUGGGGGAUAACGUAGGGAAACUUACGCUAAUACCGCAUACGACCUACGGGUGAAAGCAGGGGAUCUUCGGACCUUGCGCGAUUGAAUGAGCCGAUGUCGGAUUAGCUAGUUGGCGGGGUAAAGGCCCACCAAGGCGACGAUCCGUAGCUGGUCUGAGAGGAUGAUCAGCCACACUGGAACUGAGACACGGUCCAGACUCCUACGGGAGGCAGCAGUGGGGAAUAUUGGACAAUGGGCGCAAGCCUGAUCCAGCCUUACCGCGUGGGUGAAGAAGGCCUUCGGGUUGUAAAGCCCUUUUGUUGGGAAAGAAAAGCAGCAGGUUAAUACCCCGCUGUUCUGACGGUACCCAAAGAAUAAGCACCGGCUAACUUCGUG
rnacentral:rRNA from 1 species